rnacentral:rRNA from 1 species
CCUGGCUCAGGACGAACGCUGGCGGCGCGCCUAACACAUGCAAGUCGAACGAGCGAGAGAGAGCUUGCUUUCUCGAGCGAGUGGCGAACGGGUGAGUAACGCGUGAGGAACCUGCCUCAAAGAGGGGGACAACAGUUGGAAACGACUGCUAAUACCGCAUAAGCCCACGGGUCGGCAUCGACCAGAGGGAAAAGGAGCAAUCCGCUUUGAGAUGGCCUCGCGUCCGAUUAGCUAGUUGGUGAGGUAAUGGCCCACCAAGGCGACGAUCGGUAGCCGGACUGAGAGGUUGAACGGCCACAUUGGGACUGAGACACGGCCCAGACUCCUACGGGAGGCAGCAGUGGGGAAUAUUGCACAAUGGGGGAAACCCUGAUGCAGCGACGCCGCGUGGAGGAAGAAGGUCUUCGGAUUGUAAACUCCUGUUGUUGAGGAAGAUAAUGACGGUACUCAACAAGGAAGUGACGGCUAACUACGUGCCAGCAGCCGCGGUAAAACGUAGGUCACAAGCGUUGUCCGGAAUUACUGGGUGUAAAGGGAGCGCAGGCGGGAAGACAAGUUGGAAGUGAAAUCUAUGGGCUCAACCCAUAAACUGCUUUCAAAACUGUUUUUCUUGAGUAGUGCAGAGGUAGGCGGAAUUCCCGGUGUAGCGGUGGAAUGCGUAGAUAUCGGGAGGAACACCAGUGGCGAAGGCGGCCUACUGGGCACCAACUGACGCUGAGCCUCGAAAGUGUGGGUAGCAAACAGGAUUAGAUACCCUGGUAGUCCACACCGUAAACGAUGAUUACUAGGUGUUGGAGAUGGACCCUUCAGUGCCGCAGUUACACAAUAGUAAUCCCCUGGGGAGUACGACCGCAAGGGUGAAACUCAAAGAAAUGACGGGGGCCCGCACAAGCAGUGGAGUAUGUGGUUUAUUCGACGCAACGCGAAGAACCUUACCAAGUCUUGACAUCCUGCGACGAUGCUGGAAACAGUAUUUUCCUUCGGGACGCAGAGACAGGUGGUGCAUGGUUGUCGUCAGCUCGUGUCGUGAGAUGUUGGGUUAAGUCCCGCAACGAGCGCAACCCUUACUGUCAGUUACUACGCAAGAGGACUCUGGCAGGACUGCCGUUGACAAAACGGAGGAAGGUGGGGAUGACGUCAAAUCAUCAUGCCCUUUAUGACUUGGGCUACACACGUACUACAAUGGCGUUAAACAAAGAGAAGCAAGACCGCGAGGUGGAGCAAAACUCAGAAACAACGUCCCAGUUCGGACUGCAGGCUGCAACUCGCCUGCACGAAGUCGGAAUUGCUAGUAAUCGUGGAUCAGCAUGCCACGGUGAAUACGUUCCCGGGCCUUGUACACACCGCC